CCGACCUUAGCUCAGUUGGUAGAGCGGAGGACUGUAGUGGGGACUAACCUCAGAGUAAUCCUUAGGUCGCUGGUUCGAAUCCGGCAGGUCGGA
rfam:Lupinus angustifolius cultivar Tanjil contig_23180, whole genome shotgun sequence.